AAAAGUUGGGUAUGCGAUGUGUCUUCGACAUCAACAUACAUGAUGGUUUUGUAUUAUAAGGUUAGCUAGACAUAAUAGAUUCAUACCAUGCGCGUGCACAGGAUUUGAACAGGCUUCCUGUUUAGAUUAAGCCACUGCAGAGUCGGCGCGAGAUUUGGCUCGGAAAAAGUACCACAGUCCAGAGCGUGUAGCGACAGAACCGAGGGGGGAAGAAUGAAGUGGAAAGGAACAAUGGAGCGUAAAUGAGUCUCUUUUUCCUAACGUAGUUAAGCCAAAACCACACCCAUUAUCCAAUGGGAGCGUUCGACUACGCGUGGCGCAAGCGUAUGGUAUGACUACGCAUGGCGCAAGCGCAUGGUAUGUCUACGCAUGGCGCAAGCGCAUGGUAUGACUAAGCGUGGCGUUCCAAUUUAAGGAUGGAAAGUGUAAUUUAACAAUUAGCUGCCUAUUAUUAUCAUGUUUGGUAACGUUUGCCCAUGUUUUUAUAUUCAGAGUUUCAAUGAGUUGUAAAAUGUCUCAACUCUGAAUUCCCGCAAUUUAAGGUCAGCUAAAUUUACCUAGACUACUUUUUUAUUUUUAUUAACAACAAAUCAAUACAUAAAUCACAUGAGGGAAUACAAGCAUACAUAGAUUACAAACAAUAGACAAUCAAGCUAGGGGGUACAAUAUCACAUUACAAUUACACAAGGACCUUAAGGGACAUGCAUAUACUUACAAUUCUAACAGCUUUUUUGUUAGUAAAGCAUUUAAACGUCUUAAAAUACAGUUCAAUUUCUUUUUGUAGGGUACGAAAAUGUGGUUUUCUGUUUGUAAAUUUACAUUUGUGUAUAUGAAAUUUGGCCAAAAGAAUAAUGAAAUUAAUUACAUAAAAAUGUUUCAGCUUAUUUCUAUUGUAUGUAAAGAAUCCAAACAGUACAUCUCUCCACAAUAGUGUAAAAUCUUCAUAAAUGUGUUCAAUUAUAAACCUACUGAUGUCUUGCCACAGUUUUCUUACAUGCAAUACAAUGCCAAAAAAGAUGCAAAACUGUUUCUGGGUGGUCAUUACAAAAGGAGCAAUUUGAGUUGAUGUUUUCCUUAAACUUCUUCAUAUAGUGGUUGGCAGGAUAAUAUUUAUGAAUAAUUUUGAAGGAAACUUCCUUAAUUUUGUUAACAAGUAGGUAUGUGUGUGGCAACAUUCAAUUUUUUCCCAACAGAUAUUAUCAAUAAAUCCAUUCCAAUAAGGCAUGACAUAAGGUAUAGAUACGAUCCUUGUUUCAGCAGGAUGUUGUAUCGCUCUGUUGUUGAAUGGACCAAAAGAGAAACAAAUCUUUCCUACUGAUGAGUCAACAGGGUCAAUAGAAGGUAGGCUCUGAGGGUCAGGUCUUGACACGUUCCUGAAUAACAUAGCAACAUCUGAGGGAAUGGCAUCUAAAACGAUUGCAAAAUCUUUAGGUGUUACAGGGACCUUGUAAAGUGAUAAGAAUUCUUUAUAACUGGGUAAAAAAGACCCUCUGCAUUUACCAGUUGGCUCACCAAUAGGAUAUUAUUUCAGAACCAAUAUUCUAAAAACAGAGAGGUAUUUUUAUACAAUAUAUCCCGAUUAUUCCAUAUAUAAUAUCUGUGUGGAAAAAAAUUGUGUUUAUAAAUUAAGGACCAUGACAAGAAAACCUGCCGAUGAAAAGCAGAAAGUUUCACUGGAACUUUGUCAAUAUUAUAAUUGCAAAACAACAUGAAGUUAAGGCCACCAAAAGUAGAGAAGACAUGAUGAGGAAUAAAAUUCAAGAUAGAAGUGGGUCUUCUUAGGAAUUAUCCAAUUGAUCUUAAAAGUAUUAUUUAAAGUAGUAAAGUCCAGAAAAUUCAGUCCACCAUACUCAUAAGUGUUCAUUACAACAGUUUUCCUAAUGUAAUGGGUACGGUUUCUCCACAGAAAGUUGAAAAGCAUCUGGUCUAUCUCCUUGCUUAUUUUACUGUCAAGAUAUAAAGAUAGAGCACCAUAUGUUAGUCUAGAGAUACCUUCAGCCUUGGUUAUUAGGACUCUACCUUUUUAAAGAUAAGUCCCUCUGUAGCCAUUGAUUUAGUUUCUUCUGGAUUUUUUUAAUAAGAGGGUUAACAUUUAGUAAGCCUCUAGACUUCUGAUCCUUUAAUGGUUAUGCCUAAAUAUGUAAGUUCUUCUUUUACUGGAAUACCAUGAUAUGAAGGUGUCGCACAAUAUUUGACAGCUAUGAGUUCACAUUUAUUAAUGUUAAGAUGUGGACCAGACGCUUUGGAAAAGGAUUGUAUCACAUUGAUCGAUAUGGGAAUUUGGUUAGCGUCAUUCAGAAAAAGUGUAGUAUCGUCAGCCAGCUGGCUUAUAAUAAUUUCUUUACCAGCUAUGGAAAUACCUUGUACAGGACUAUUAUUUAAAGAAUUUGCAAGAAGUUGGGUGAUUAAUAAAAACAGGUACAGAGAGAUAGGACAACCUUGCCUAAUUCCUCUCUUUAACUCAAAUCUAGGUGAGGUGCCAUAUUUCAAUUUGAUAGAGCUGUUACCAUUUGCAUAGAGAGUCUUAAUA